GAUGAAGAACGUAGCGAAAUGCGAUAACUAAUGUGAAUUGCAGAAUUCCGUGAAUCAUCGAGUCUUUGAACGCACAUUGCGCCCCCUGGUAUUCCGGGGGGCAUGCCUGUCCGAGCGUCAUUGCUGCCCUCAAGCACGGCUUGUGUGUUGGGCCCCGUCCUCCUUCCGGGGGACGGGUCCGAAAGGCAGCGGCGGCACCGCGUCCGGUCCUCAAGCGUAUGGGGCUUUGUCACUCGCUUUGUAGGCCUGGCCGGCGCUUGCCGAUCAACCAAACUUUUUAUCAGGUUGACCUCGGAUCAGGUAGGGAUACCCGCUGAACUUAAGCAUAUCAAUAAGCGGAGGA
rnacentral:misc_RNA from 1 species